UGUGGCGAAUUUCCUUGCGCAAGACAGUGGUCAACCGUUUUGGUAACUAUAAUGUUUUCACGAUAUAUAGUCAACACGGCAAAGUAAGAGGUUUGUACAGCCAUCGCAUUAUGUGUACUGUAACAUGUUUGUUGAAUCAUGAGAUAUUCGUUUUCGUUUAUACGUUUAUUUUUUAGUCGCAGGUUGGUAGUUAGUGGGAUUAGUUAUGAUACCAAAUAUUAUUG
rnacentral:lncRNA from 1 species